rnacentral:sRNA from 1 species
GGGCAGCCCUAGAGACCAAAGACCAUAGUUAAUCCAGAAUAGGUACAGGGCAUGCAAUAGUAGGUAAAACUUCUUUCCCAUUGCUUCUUGUCAUUGUCCCUCAUCUCUGAACUGGAUAGACCAACUCUGUGGCUGAGCAAGUAGUUCAGUCUCCCUGAUACAUGUAGUCGUUGGCCUCU